AAACUUUUAGUUAAAUUAACAUUCAGUAUGCACAUGAAUAUGACUAUAACUAUUGUUCACUUUGGAUUAAUUUCUUUCUUGUAUAUCUUAAUUUUUUUCUGAAAUUAAUGAAUGCCUUUAUUAUUUGCUUCCUGAUGAGGUGACUUUUGGGCAAACACUUGAAAGAAGAGUGGGGAACCAUGGAGAUAGUUGGAAGAUGAACCUUCUAUGCAGAGGGAAAAGAAACUGAGGAAUCAAGGACUUCAGUGACUUGCACCAAGCUAUACACUAGUUCGAGGACAGCAUCUAUCAUAUUACCUGGCACAUAUUUUGUGGAAACAGAAGUGAUAAUUCUGGUUAUGACAACAUCACCACCACCACUACCAACAACAACAAAUAUUUACUGUGUAGCUAUCAUCUGUUAGCUACUUUUCAUACACUAAUCCUUGUAACAACGUAAUGGGAAUGGUAUUAUCAUUGCUUCCAUUUCACAGAUGAGAAAACGCAAGCUCAGAGAAGAUAAAA
rnacentral:lncRNA from 10 species